rnacentral:rRNA from 1 species
UCAAAUGAAUUGACGGGGACCCGCACAAGCAGCGGAGCGUGUGGUUUAAUUCGUUGCUACACGAAGAACCUUACCUGGGUUUGACAUAUAGGUUGUAGGGAACUGAAAAGGGACCGACCCUUCGGGGAGCCUAUACAGGUGUUGCAUGGCUGUCGUCAGCUCAUGUCGUGAGAUGUUCGGUUAAGUCCGCUAACGAGCGCAACCCUCGCUGUGUGUUACAAGUGUCACACGGAACUGCCGGUCAUAAACCGGAGGAAGGUGGGAUGACGUCAAGUCAGCAUGGCCUUUAUAUCCUGGGCUACACACACGCUACAAUGGGAAGGGACAAUAGGUUGCGAAGCCGCGAGGCGGAGCCAAUCCAGCAAAACUUCCCUCAGUUCAGAUUGCAGGCUGCAACCCGCCUGCAUGAAGUUGGAGUUGCUAGUAAACGCAGGUCAGCCAUACUGCGUUGAAUACGUUCCCGGGGCUU